CCUACGGGAGGCAGCAGUGAGGAAUAGUGGUCAAUGGGCGCGAGCCUGAACCAGCCAAGUAGCGUGAAGGAUGACUGCCCUACGGGUUGUAAACUUCUUUUAUAAAGGAAUAAAGUGAGGCACGUGUGCCUUUUUGUAUGGACUUUAUGAAUAAGGAUCGGCUAACUCCGUGCCAGCAGCCGCGGUAAUACGGAGGAGCCGAGCGUUAUCCGGAUUUAUUGGGGUUAAAGGGAGCGUAGAGGGGUUGUUACGUCCGUUGUGAAAGUUUGCGGCUCAACCGUAAAAUGGCAAUUGAUACUGGCAGUCUUGAGUACAGUUGCGUUAGGCGGACUUCGUGGUGUAGCGGUGACAUGC
rnacentral:rRNA from 1 species